rnacentral:lncRNA from 1 species
GAGAGAGAAGACAACAGCUAGGAUAGUUGCACACUGUUCAGCUGCCUUGCCCCGCGAACAUGGCGAUGAUUUUACAAUCCUUUUCUCUUUCUUCCACCUACAUGUGAAAAGGACUCCGCCCCAAGUCGCCCCCACGUUGGUGUCCCCGCAUAUUCCGAGGCUCUCUACACGACUCCGCCACCAUUUCUUUCGCCCUCCCUCCGACCAAGAAGCUUUCUUCUCCUUCUUGUCCCGCACGGGAAUUUCAAGAUUCCAGGUUCCCCCGCACGAUAAGUUCGACCGGGGCAGUAGAAAAGGUAAAGGCUUUGCUGAGUUUCGUCGAUUUGGCUGAUCUGGGCUCGCUGCAUUUGCCCCGUCUUGCACUCUGGUGAUCUCAGGGGAGUCGCAUCUGGAUCUUUUCUCGAGUGGGUAGUUCGAGGUGGCGUUUCUUGAUCUGCUUGCUGCUCGGGAUUUUCGGGUCUGUUCGUCUGGGUUUUCCUUCCCAAGAACGCGUUUUCUGAGAAAAAGGUCGGUAACUGGCGUUUUCCGCGGUUGACUUCUGAGGCUGGUUUUCGUGGAGUUUAGAGGAGAGCAUGAUUAGAUCGUGCUUGCCCCUUCGGUUUGUUUGAUGCAUUAGUGUUUGUUUAGUUAAGUUUGACUGGGAAUAUUGGAGCUUUUGGGUAUUGCUG